rnacentral:tRNA from 1 species
GGCAUUAUGGUGUAGUGGUUUGAGCGCUGGACUAUGACUCUGGAGGCCAGGGUUCAAAUCCCUGCUUGGCCA